rnacentral:pre_miRNA from 14 species
GGGGCCCUCCCGUCUGGAAGACUAGUGAUUUUGUUGUUCUGUCAAACUUGGAAACAAGAAAUCACUAUCUCCGAACGGUGGGCGCCCU